GAUGAACGCUGGCGGCGUGCUUAACACAUGCAAGUCGAACGGGGCACCCCCAAAGGAGUUUUCGGACAACUGCGGGGAAUGCCUAGUGGCGGACGGGUGAGUAACGCGUGAGCAACCUGCCUUGGAGUGGGGAAUAACAGAUGGAAACAUCUGCUAAUACCGCAUAAUGCAGUUGGGCCACAUGGCUCUGACUGCCAAAGAUUUAUCGCUCUGAGAUGGGCUCGCGUCUGAUUAGCUAGUUGGUGGGGCAACGGCCCACCAAGGCGACGAUCAGUAGCCGGACUGAGAGGUUGGCCGGCCACAUUGGGACUGAGACACGGCCCAG
rnacentral:rRNA from 1 species